rnacentral:rRNA from 1 species
GACAGAGGGGGCAAGCGUUGCUCGGAAUCACUGGGCGUAAAGGGCGCGUAGGCGGGAUGGCAAGUCGGUCGUGAAAUCCUUCGGCCCAACCGAAGAACGUCGGCCGAUACUGCCGUUCUUGAGGGAUGCAGAGGAGACUGGAAUUCCCGGUGUAGCGGUGAAAUGUGUAGAGAUCGGGAGGAACACCGGUGGCGAAGGCGGGUCUCUGGGCAUUUCCUGACGCUGAGGCGCGAAAGCUAGGGGAGCGAACGGG